CGAACGCUGGCGGUAUGCUUAACACAUGCAAGUCGAACGAGAAAUCUUCUUCGGAAGAGAGUAGAGUGGCGCACGGGUGAGUAACACGUAGAUAACCUACCCCUCAGCCUGGGACAACCCUUCGAAAGGGGGGCUAAUACCGGAUAAUACAUUUGAUCGAAUGGUUAGAUGUUGAAAGAUUCAUCACUGAGGGAUGGGUCUGCGUACCAUUAGCUAGUUGGUGGGGUAACGGCCUACCAAGGCUCUGAUGGUUAGCGGGUCUGAGAGGAUGAUCCGCCACACUGGAACUGAGACACGGUCCAGACUCCUACGGGAGGCAGCAGUGGGGAAUUUUGCGCAAUGGGCGAAAGCCUGACGCAGCAAUACCGCGUGAGUGAAGAAGGCCUUUGGGUCGUAAAGCUCUUUUAUUAGGGAAGAUAGUGACGGUACCUAAUGAAUAAGCACCGGCUAACUCC
rnacentral:rRNA from 1 species